UUGGCGUGAGAGAGCGAGAGAGAGAGUGUGUGUGUGUGCGUGUCCGCGCUAACCUGCAACCAAAGCCCAUACAUGCAUAACACCAAGCCGUCGAAUUUUUUGAACUAAUUGGUUUGAAGAGGAGAUCUUGCCCGGGUUUUUCAAAAGGUCGCAUGCAGGUUUCUUUUUCUUUUCUUUUCUUUUCUUUUUUAAUUUUCUUUCUCGCGCGCUGGAGCACCCGACUUGAUUAAUCUAUCUGCAAUAACUAUAUACAGAGUGUGUUUUGUCGAUAGAGUAAGGGAUGAUGGAACGCCGGUUGGCCUUUUCUUUUCUUUUCUUUUCUUUUUUUGUGUAUGCAACAAUUCAUGCUUCUUGACGCCUUGGGUGGCUUGCCAAUGGUAUUUUUUGAGUUUUUUUUGGCUCUGUGAUGCGAGGAGAUGGAUGCAAGGGAGUCUAGCGUUUUCACAGAGAUCGUUUGCUGCUGCUGACUGACUACAUCUAUCUGUUCAUGAUUGAUAUACGGAAAUUUUUUUUUGCUUCUCCCUCCCCCGCUCCCCCACACAGAUAUUCUCUUUCCACUUGCAUCACGGACACAUGGCAUAUGGAAGAGAACUUAUGUAGGGAGCUUUUUUCAGGACGAUAUAUACAGAAACCACGAAAACCCCGGAACCAAGGAAUAAGCAACACCUUCUUGGCGUUUAUGGGGGGAUCUGCUUCAAUGGCGACCGGGGGAUAGAGAGAGGGCAAAGGGACUUCUCCAGGAUUCGUUGCUAAACAACCAGUUACGCUCCUAGCAUCGAAUCGGAUUGACGAUAGACAAGAGUGUUCAAGAAGGCCAGCCAGGAUGGUAUUUCGGAACGUCCCCGUACCCGAUCAAUCUGCCUUCCAGCGAGACCCAGUCGAUUGUUCAGUUCCACGCGUUUACAUGUUAGUGGUAGAAGGAAAGCUCUACCACAGCGCGACGCGGCAAAAGGAGUUAGGACGACAGAUACAUCUGUAAGGUUGUUUGUUUAGCUUACUGCUGCCGAGCAAAGACGAUACGAAUAUAUAAAGGUGCAGGCCAGCUGUAGUUAAAGUAGGUAAUGACCUCGGUAUCGCCCAAGGACGCUAAACCGUGCAAGGCAACUCGUUACCCACAACUUCCCCCACACUUUGCUUGCUCUAUCCCAGCUGCCUUUGGACAUUGGAGCUCGGUUUACAGCAUUGCUGGCAAGAGGAGAAGAUAAGUGGAAGAAUUGGAAUCACAAAAAUAGGAACAAGAAGAAACGAAAAUUACUAGUACAUCUGCACAGAUCAGGCUUCUCUGGAGAAACUUGGACGUCAUUUUUUUUUAAUUUUUUUGCCUUUUUCGAUUGCUUCUGCUCUUCUGCGCUGCGUUACUGGCCUCUCCUGGUAAAUACAGAUUCGCCAGACAACCACACAUUGUCCUGCUGCUCUGCGUAACUCCCACCGCGACGACAAUUAUCUGAUAUCGAGCUGUUCUGCUCUCUGUUCUUGCUCUCUAUUCUUGGUUCAUUUCUAUAUUUAGUUAGCCACAGCUUGCUGAGUCCUGACCAAAUGCAGCUUGUUCCGAGAGAGCUUGACAAGCUCGUCACCUCCCAGCUUGGCUUUCUGGCUCAGCGGCGUCUGGCUCGUGGAGUUCGGUUGAAUCAUGCGGAAGCGACGGCAUUAAUCGCAUCAAACAUACAGGAGCUGAUACGUGAUGGCCACCAUACUGUGGCCGACCUGAUGGCCAUCGGCAAGAUGAUGCUGGGGCGACGUCAUGUUCUGCCAUCAGUGACCUCCACCGUUCAUGAGGUCUUUGUGGAGGGCACUUUCCCUUCCGGCACGUAUCUAGUAACCAUCCACGAACCUAUCAGCACCGAGGACGGCGAUUUGGAGAAGGCCUUGUAUGGCAGUUUCCUGCCCGUGCCUUCGAAGGAUAUUUUCCCUGAUCCUGACCCGGAAGAUUAUCACCCUUUGAAAAUGCCGGGGGCGGUUAUUCCUGUCAAGCAGUCCAGAAUUAUGCUAAGUGAGGGACGUAAAAGAAUCUCUCUUAAAGUAACCAGUAAAGGGGAUAGGCCCAUUCAGGUUGGCUCCCAUUACCACUUCAUCGAGGUCAAUCCGCAUCUGGAUUUUGAUAGACUCAGAUCGUAUGGCUACCGCCUGGAUAUCCCCGCGGGAACUGCUAUCCGGUUCGAACCGGGAGAUUCCAAAACGGUGACUCUCGUUGAGAUAGGUGGAAACAAGGUGAUUCACGGGGGUAAUUUUCUGGCCAGUGGCAAAGUGGACCUCACCAGGGCAGAUGAAAUUCUUGAGCGACUUCAAAAAGCCGGGUUCGCGCAUACACCUGAGCCAGCGAGUGAUAUUACCCAUAUCGACCCGCAUUCGAUGGAUAGGGAAUCGUACAUGCGCAUGUUUGGCGCCACCACCGGCGACCUUAUUAGACUAGGCUCAACGGAUCUAUGGAUAAAGGUAGAAAAGGACUUAACUUCGUUUGGGGAUGAGUGUACGUUUGGCGGGGGCAAGACCUUGAGAGAAGGCAUGGGCCAAGCGUCCGGAAGAUGCUCAGACGACGUACUGGACACCGUUAUUACGAAUGCACUUAUUGUCGAUUGGACUGGGAUUUAUGUAGCUGAUAUCGGCAUUAAGGAUGGAAAUAUUGUCGGUAUCGGAAAAGCGGGGAACCCUGAUGUUAUGGAUGGGGUCUAUCCGAAUAUGUUUGUUGGAUCUGGUACUGAUGUAAUUUCUGGGGAACGAAACAUAGUCACCGCUGGUGGCGUGGAUACUCACAUUCAUUUUAUCACCCCGGAUCAGGUACAGGAGGCUCUGGCGUCAGGUGUCACCACGAUGCUGGGUGGUGGUACAGGUCCCAGUACUGGAACAAACGCGACCACGUGUACGCCGGGGCCGAACCAUAUGAAAAAUAUCAUCCAGGCCUGUGACGGCUUACCAAUGAAUUUUGGGAUCACAGGUAAAGGGAAUGAUUGCCAGCCCCAAAGUCUGAGAGAGCAGAUUCGUGCUGGAGCUGCAGGUCUGAAACUACAUGAAGACUGGGGCUGUACCCCAGCGGCAAUCGAUACAUGCCUCUCGGUUUGCGAUGAGUAUGACGUGCAGUGUCUCAUCCACACCGAUACGCUUAACGAAUCUGGUUUUGUCGAACAAUCGAUCCAAGCAUUCAAGGGUCGCGCCAUCCACACCUACCAUACCGAAGGCGCGGGUGGAGGCCAUGCGCCGGAUAUCAUCUCAGCCGUCCAAUUCCCUAAUGUCCUACCAAGUAGCACCAACCCUACACGCCCAUUCACUUUAAAUACUCUAGACGAGCACCUGGACAUGGUCAUGGUAUGCCAUCAUCUUUCCAAAAACAUCCGUGAAGACGUCGCAUUCGCCGAGAGCCGUAUUCGUGCUGAAACAAUUGCGGCAGAAGACGUGCUGCACGACCUGGGUGCCAUCAGCAUGAUUUCUUCAGAUUCCCAGGCUAUGGGUCGCUGCGGUGAAGUGAUUCUUCGCACGUGGAACACGGCGCAUAAGAACAAGCUUCAGCGUGGCCCCUUAGAGGAAGAUAGAGGAACGGGCGCGGAUAAUUUUAGGGUGAAAAGGUAUAUCAGUAAGUAUACAAUUAACCCGGCAAUCACGCAGGGCAUGUCCCACCUUAUUGGCAGUGUUGAGGUGGGGAAGGUUGCAGAUCUUGUCAUGUGGAAGUUUUCGGACUUUGGAACGAAACCAAAUAUGGUGUUGAAAUCUGGUAUGAUUGCUAUGGCGAUGAUGGGCGACGCGAACGGUUCGAUCUCAACUAUCGAACCCAUGCUGAUGAGGGCGAUGUAUGCGGCCCACCUUCCCAGAACAUCCAUAACGUUUGUCUCCCAAGCAUCGAAAAGCCUGGGCAUCAUUGAUUCGUACGGGCUCAAAAGGCGCGUUGAAGUAGUGAAGAAUUGUCGAAAUAUUAGCAAGAAAGAUAUGAAAUUUAACGAUGUGAUGCCUAAGAUGAGAGUUGAUCCGGAAAGUUAUGUUGUCGAAGCGGAUGGUAAAAUUUGUCGGGCGGAGCCAGCUGCGCAACUGCCCUUAACGCAGGAACAUUUUAUUUUUUAAUUAAGUUUUUUCUCAGCUUCUCUACUCUACCAGCCCUCUUUUCAGCUAUUGCAAUUGGUUAUAUUUAUUGGCAAUUGAUAGUGGGAAUGCUUUGAGAGCUACGUGGGAAAGUGAUAUACAGGACAGGACCGUCCAGCACAUAACGUAUUUUACCCUGGUUAGAUGAUAGUUAAAGCCGAGGGAGCCAUACAUAUAUUAUAAUUAUACUUGUGUCACUUUCGAGAACAUCCACUAUAGCCAGUUUUCGAGGCUGAAUAAAUAAAAUUCCUUUUCGUUUGAAGAA
rnacentral:sRNA from 2 species